AUUAAUGUUAAGAAAAAGUAAAGAUGUUGGCUUAUGUCAGAUAUACUAACUGUUAAUCUAUAAAUGUGGAUUUGGGUUAGCUAAUUCUUCCAGUUUUCAAAGUAGGGUUGUAAAAUAGGGUCGUAAUAACAUACAUCUAUUGAAUAUAUCAAACAUUUAGUGCAGUCGAAUUAGUAAUUACACUUCAUCUAUAUGAUUGAUAUUUUAAAAAAGUAAAGAUGUUUAUUUCAGAUAGUUUUACAGCCGCUUCAUAUAUUUUUUUCUGUUUUCUUUUUUGACUUCUUUUUUAAUUUACAUAUAUACAUUUUUAAAUUCUCUUUACUGAAAUACUGUUUCUUAUGUUUUAUGAUUUAAAGUGCAAGCGACGAGAAGUGACGUCAUUCACGGCGUCUCGUUCGCGGUACUUGGUAACGCGGGUACUGUCCUCACGCGGGAAUGGAGAGAAACACAGGUUUAGAAAAUGUUUAGUAGAAGGAAGAAGCAGGUGAGCAAGCUUGCUGCCUUUGGCUACAACCCAAUUUUGUUCAUCAGGAAGAAGAAGAAGAGGGUGAACACAGUAAAUGCUGAAAUGAUCACCUACAUGUGACCUGGAGGGGACGGGCCUGUAAAACCCUUUUUAGAAAAGAUGAGCAGGGCAUAUGAGUACAUUAUUAAAAGUAAGGCAAACAUCUGUUUUUAUGAUUUAUGCUUUGGGAUGUGCUGUCAUUGUGAGUAAUAUUUAUAUUUAUAUUUUUCAGAUUCUCAAGGAUGCAAUUGCCAGAAGCUCCCAGCCCA
rnacentral:lncRNA from 15 species